UGGUACUCUGUUAUAUAGUCCUACAGGGGAGAGGUCUGUUGAUACUCUGUCACAGUCUUACAGGGGAGAGGUCUGUUGGUACUCUGUUAUAUAGUCCUACAGGGGAGAGGUCUGUUGGUACUCUGUUAUGUAGUCCUACAGGGGAGAGGUCUGUUGAUACUCUGUUAUAUAGUCCUACAACUCUGUUAUAUAGUCCUACAGGGGAGAGGUCUGUUGGUACUCUGUUAUAUUGUCCUACAGGGGAGAGGUCUGUUGGU